rnacentral:rRNA from 1 species
CCUACGGGAGGCAGCAGUGGGGAAUCUUGCGCAAUGGGCGAAAGCCUGACGCAGCAACGCCGCGUGAGCGAAGAAGGCCUUCGGGUUGUAAAGCUCUGUCAGGGGGAAAGAAGGCACCUGGGUUAAUAGCCCAAGGGUUGACGGUACCCCCAAAGGAAGCCACGGCUAACUACGUGCCAGCAGCCGCGGUAAUACGUAGGUGGCGAGCGUUGUCCGGAAUUAUUGGGCGUAAAGAGCGCGUAGGUGGCUUGUCAGGUCUGAUGUGAAAACCUGGGGCUCAACCCCAGGCCUGCAUCGGAAACCGGCUUGCUAGAGUCUGGGAGAGGAGAGUGGAAUUCCUGGUGUAGCGGUGAAAUGCGUAGAUAUCAGGAGGAACACCGGUAGCGAAGGCGGCUCUCUGGAACAGUACUGACACUGAGGCGCGAAAGCUAGGGGAGCAAACAGGAUUAGAUACCCUGGUAGUCCUAGCCGUAAACGAUGGACACUAGGUGUCGGGGGUGUCGACUCCCUCGGUGCCGAAGCUAACGCAUUAAGUGUCCCGCCUGGGGAGUACGGCCGCAAGGCUAAAACUCAAAGGAAUUGACGG